UUUGUCGACAAAAGUUACGAACUUGUCCACAAGUUUAUAGUCGCUCAAAAAGCAAUAGAACGGGCUAUGUUUAAUGUUUCUUUAAAAGAUAGAAU